UUCCAAAGUGUUGAGUACAGGAUGUUCUUUAUAGUGAACAUUGUGAAAUUUAAACUUUGGAAAAUUACUAAGUUUUCGAAAACAUCUUUGGAGUACUUAAUAUGCUUUAAAGAAAGUUUCAGGAACAAACAU